GCGGGUGUAGUUUAGUGGUAAAACCUCAGAUUGGCAGACACACAGGACUUAAAAUCCUGCGGUAGGUGACUACCGUGCCGGUUCAAGUCCGGCCCUCGGCA
rnacentral:tRNA from 1 species